rnacentral:miRNA from 1 species
GUCUAAAAGGAAUGAUGAUUUAUGGAUGAUGAACGAUGAAUUGUGCGUUAGCCCAUUCAUCGUUCAUCAUCCAUAAAUCAUCAUUCUUU